UCCUGGCUCUGAUGGACCUGUUCUUUGGUUCUGGAAUUGCUUGCUCCCUGGACAAGGGGAAAAUGGAAAGGUUGCUUUUAAUGUGAAAGGGCCAAGCAGACAGCAAAUAUCAUAAUUGCUGUUGCUACUAGAGACAACUUCAACUCUCUAUCUUGCCUGGGCCAGAAGGUGACUCAAGGCUUGUGGCUGUCCUUCCACAGAGGCUUCCGAAACUGCAGUAAAGAAGAUGCUGGGAUGCGGGAGGUCUGCACGUGCACAAACAGCACAUGUUGGGAUAUCAUAUUGCAGCGUUUUCCUCCCAGGAGAUGAAGAUCAGGGGUCAUUUCACAGAAGCCCAUAAUGACCCACCUAAGGAUCUGUUCUCAAUUUGGUAAGCAACUGGGGUGUGGGGUUGAAGAACCUUGAUUGAAGGUGAUCAGACCUGAGCUUUUAGAAAAAUCAAUGCAUACAUUAGAAGGUGAAGCCCUGAAUGUAAGCACUCUCUCUCUCUCUCCAUGCUACUAAAAUUGGAACGGCUUUAUUGCCUCUCUGCAUCCCCUUGACCUUUUCUCAAUACCAAUUGGGAAACCUACUGUUAUUUAACAUUUAAUACCGGGCAUUCUUUUUCCUUGAAGAUGUCUGGAUAGUAAGGCUGAGAUCUCAAACUUUUGUGUGUGUGCUACUGAAGACAUUUUAACUCUGUAAGUCGGAGUAGUACUUCCAUGACAGGUGAAAUGUAGAAUCCCACAGGCUAUUUCUUUGUCGAUCUUUUUUCCUUAGGUGGCUUUUCAACAGGUUGAAAUAAAAACGAUGUUGCAAUGAAGUCA
rnacentral:lncRNA from 1 species